rnacentral:rRNA from 1 species
UACGUAGGGGGCAAGCGUUGUCCGGAUUUAUUGGGCGUAAAGAGCGUGUAGGCGGUCAUGUAGGUCCGUUGUGAAAACUCGAGGCUCAACCUCGAGACGUCGGCGGAAACCAUCUGGCUAGAGUCCGGAAGAGGAGAGUGGAAUUCCUGGUGUAGCGGUGAAAUGCGCAGAUAUCAGGAAGAACACCCGUGGCGAAGGCGGCUCUCUGGGACGGUACUGACGCUGAGACGCGAAAGCGUGGGGAGCGAACAGG